AAACAACGAUCGAUGGCUAGUCGCGCGGCAGCCGGCAGAGCAACGAUUUAUCGAUUCCAUUUCACGUCAUCGCACCACGUGUCACUAGAUAAUGCAAUUUGCCGCAAAUAGAAUCCAUCGCGGUAGUCCAUUACACUAUCGAGAAUCACUUUGUCCGAGUGUAUUAAUUCGAGAGCUUUGCACGGUGCAAGCUCGUUCGCGGAAUUUUCACCGAUAUCUUGGAAUUAUAUGUGACGAGCUUGCGUAUGAUCACCGGACAAAACGAGUGAUGUAGGAGGAUGUCAAAUAAGUUAAACGUUUGUCGUGACAUUUCGAGUAAAUGAAAACAUUGCUUGGUGAGCAUUUGUAGCUUCAAAUGGAAUUCUAAUAUUUCUGGAAUAUGUUAAUACUUUUUAAUAUUUACUUCUUAACAAAUAUAGACACGCGCAAAGGAUUACGAAAUAACGAAUUACAAAUAAUUUCGAUCUUUUCGAUCCUUCGUCAAAUUAACGGGCUGCUUCGUUUUCCAGUGAUUCGUGUAAACCGACGGAAAUCAACCGAAAAUCGAUCAGAUUCGAUCGAUAAUUUGUUAAGGUUUGUCUGCUUUUUGAUGAUUCGUAAAUGAAAGAAAAUUCGAUCUUUCGAAUGGAAUGGAAUUAAACUUCGAACGUAUAAAGCUUCUUCGAUUUAUCGUUCAGAAAAUUAGUCGAAACGGGUGAAAAUUCGGUUCUCAAGUCACGUACUUGCGUACGUGUGUAUGUGUAACAGAAGCAAAGUUUUGCAAGCGCCUCCAAUUGAACUUGCGCACGUCCUCGACUGUCGUUUAUCUGUCCAACUAUCUACAUUUAAUAUUUUUGACGGAAUUUUUUCAAGCACCGUAUUUUAUCCGUGCACGAGGUUUCUUUUUUACUCUCAUUGGAGAUAAAUUAGUAUUGAGAAAUGGGUUAUCACUUACGGUCACAACGUCAGCAAGGACUGUGCGGCCUGACGAGUCAAGGAGCAGAAACCUUGCAAAGUUCACGUUAAACGUUACCUUCUAUAGUAAGUAGCAUGCAGACCGCGAAAUCAAGCUAUCAUUGCGUCGCUGGCGAAUCGUAUGAACGGCUUCUUCGCUGACGAGAACGCUUCCAAUCGAAAGAUUACCACAAAUACGACACUUACGUUUCUUCUUCUGCAUCUUUCAUCCCUUUCAGCGUUUCGCUCUUCUUUACUGAUAAAAUUUAUCGAUAAUUAUUAGCCGAACUUUGACAUUCGCGUUUAUUCAUUUGCACCUUUCAAACCUUCGACAAUUUCAUUCUUGUUUAUUAAUAAAAUUUCAUAACAAUCAAUUCAAUAAUAAAACGACGGAGAAUUCAGGACGAACGAUUUGGGAAACAAUUAUCAUUUUAUCGUUAGAAGUUUCCAACAUUUCUCAUACGAAACUUUCAAUUCUUUCUACAAUUCCUAACGUUAUAUUUGAUAACGUGUUCUAAAGAUCAAUACUUGCCGAUCGCUCGAUUUCGAAUUGAAUUUUUACCGCCACCGUGAAGAAUGUAGAAUCGACAUUUCAAAAGUUUCGUCUGCUUUUACCCGAAUCUAUUCAGCUUUAUCUGACCACGGACACGCAUGGCAAACUUCCUUCACCUUGCAACUUCUCUUUAGCCUUUUCACGACGUCAAAUGAAACGGAGCCUAUUCCGAUAAGAUGGAACUCUAUAGAUAGAAAACAACACGACGUCCUCUGCGACGGUUAAUAAGCGAGGGUAUUUAGAUGCAGUCAUCGAAGAUGAACCGGCUUUUCGUACCCUGACCGAAAGUUCGUAUCCUUGACACAGAAAACGGCAGUAGUCUAAACCGAGGAAAGCGGCCGUUCCAUUUGCGAUUCAAAUACCAGAAGCAGCGAGGACGAGAAUGCCAGAGCAGCGAGGCGAACUAGGGGGUUCAAGAUCGCGACGCGACAUUUCCUCUUCGACAAUCGACCAUCCACUGUCUCUUCCUUCGGUUUUUCGCAGCCACUUUUUCAUUCUUUCUUCAUUUGCUUCGUUCUCCUUUCGAUAUUCGCUCGUCAUUGACCUAAUUUCCUCGUUACGCUUCUAUCUACGAUUACACGCGAUUUUUUUACCUACACGUUUCACACAGCGUGUGCUUGUCCUUCCGUGGAAGGAUUUAGAGUUUAUUUAUGUUGAAGGUAUGUCUAAUACAUCGUCCAUUUGGUUUCAUUAAGCGUAGCUUUUCUCAGAAUAAUGAAACAGAGUUGUUAUAACCUUCGAUAUUGUACUACAUCUGCAUGAUAAUGGCCCAGUUAUUUUUUAUGUGCAUGUAUAUACAAUAUGUGUAUAUAUAUAUAUAUUGACAUCGAAUACAUUAUUAUUAUUAUUAUCAUUGUUAUUGUUAUUAUGUACUGUUACGUGUGGAUAAACAAGACACUUUAUUUAUAAAAGAAUGUUUCAAAAGUGUGGCAACUCAGGAUAUUUGUAAACUCAGUCCAGUGUUAGAAGAACGUGGAAACUGUCAAGAGAAAAUUUUAAGGACCCAAUGUAAGAACGAAGAAUUAUAAAAAUUAAAAAUUGUUUCCUAGAAUCUAUUCGUUGUGUGUUUACAGCGAACGUCUAUUUCUUCUGUACGAAAUAGCUUUUCGUUAAUCGUCAAAUUAAGAUAAUUCUUCGAACCUGUAAAACAAGUUUGCGAAACGACGAACAUUCUGAAUCCUUCCUUAUUCCAUCGCACCAUCAAAGGAUUACAAAUAUUGAAGUUAUCGUAGUUUCGCUCGUAGAAACCUAUUCAACCAGCGAUCAAAGAAUUACUGUCAGCUUAUCACUUACCUCCUUUUCUCUAUGGAUGUUCGCAACUGAACUGGGCGAAAUUCUCGCGUAAACGUUCGUUCAGGGAAUAAUUUUCUCUCUCGGCCCCUACCGCACGAUCCUCGUGAACAAACACUAGCAAUGAUUUAUCAUAAAAGGAAAAAGGGGUUCGUGCGGUGGCGUAAGCGGUCGAAAUCGAAAUGUUAAUUCGCUGCUAUGGCAGAACGCGGCUCGAUAAACUGAGAUUUCCACAGUACCUAACCGAUAACUGUAAACACGCGGCUGAAAGUCGUCGCGAGCCGCGAACACGCGCAUGUAUGCGGAUCAACCUUGAUCCUUACAGACGUACAACCUCGGCCGCACGCGCUCAGACAUCGUAUUUGCAUUCGGUAAAAACUGUGGAUGAUCGUCGAUCAGCGAGAAAAAGAGACAGGAAAAAGAGAGGAACGGAAAAGUCAGCAAAAACACGGAGAGAAGAAAAAAGAGGUGGGACAUGUUUUCAUUCGUUUUUUCUCGAUCGACGAUGAUUGUGUUCUUUCGGAAUAAUCUCAAUUUAACUCUCGCGCGCGCGCGUGUGUGUGUGUGUUAAAGCACAAAUUCAAACUUUAUAAAUGAGUUGUGAAUUUUUUAAAAAUCAACUCUACUGUUCUAUGUGACCCGAAUUGUUAUUCAAAUGUAGACAGCGUUUAAUGAUUUUGUUUCAGUACACGAUAUGUGUGUUGAAAUUGGAUUAUUUUCGUGUAACUAGAAAAUCUGAACAAAAGAUAUCUUUGAUGAGGCGAAAACUCGAAGGGGAAAAAGCGAUCGUGAAGGAUGAUCGAGGAUUGGAAAUUCUUGUGGGACGUUAAAAAAGAAGGUGCUAGAGAAUUUUGAAAGAAUUUGGAAGGGACGUUUUCUCUAGCGAUUUUUCGAUUAGGAACGAAAAAUUUAGAAAGUUAAGGGCCACGACAUUUUUGUCGAAUGUCAUAGAAUCAAAUAUAUUUUUCUACGUAAAUUGUAA